GCGUGUAUGUAAAAUAGAUUCACUUGGCCGUACACCUGAAAUUAACACAUUAUAAGUCAACUAUACUCCAAUAUUUUUUUUAAAAAAGAACAAAUAUCCAAGCAAAAAGAGGAUGCAAUUUGAAUUUGAAUUUGAAUCACUCUAAACAUAUUAAUACAGUAUUUCUGCUAGUUAAAACCAAACCAAAAAAUAAAUAAAUAAAUAAAUAAACCUUUAGCCUCCUAGGCCUUCCCUGAGUUUCAGAACAAAUUUAAUCAGAGAAGUGAGAAAAUUCAGAAAUAAAGGAAAACCGUCGAGCAAGACAAACUAAGAAGAGUUUAGCCAUUCGACAAAGUCAAGGACCUCAAGAACCUUAAGUUCCUCCUCAAGGACUACAGGUGUGAUGACCGUUUUUAACUCCACGGCGAUUUUGAAGACCAGGAACGUUCAUGGGAAACACGUUCCAUUGGAUGUGAGCAUCUCCUCUGAGUUUCCUUGUGGUGUCUGCCUCCCAAAGCCUUCUUCCUCCCUCCUCCGUACCUGAUCAAGCACAGGUGAAGGAAUGAAGUCAUUGCUCUAGACCUGCCACCCGAGAGACAGGAUGCAGACACAUCACCAAAGACUUAAGAGAGACAGAAGAAAUGCCUUCUCCACGGGCAGAUGGAGUGAGCAGUGUAGAAUCCAUCACCACAGUUCAAGGCAUCUCAGAGACUCAUUUCUGAAGCCAGGGCAGAAGAAUCGUGCUGCAUCUCUACGGAAACGAACUGGGACUGGUGGAUCAACAGUUAUUACAGAAGUUGAAAGAAGGAAGGAAAGAAGAAAACAUGAGUAGCAGAUGAAGAGAAACCCAUCAUGUUAUGUCUUUUUGCUUCUCGCUGCACCCUCACUCCAGGGAGACUCAGUGCAUGAGGUAAGUCUUAUUCACACUUGGCAUGACCGAGGGGGCAGGCAAUAUGUGGGAAAGACCUGGACUUUUGCAGAAGCUCUGCCCUUUACUCGUUAUGUGAUUGGAACGACGCCUGGGUCGCUUUUUGUCUCAGUGGUUCAGCAGUAAACAGAGGGAAAUAAUCUCUCUCCUAGUGGAUGUGCAGAUUCAAGGGGAUGUGGUCAUGGUGCUGAGAAGAGUGUGUGCCUUUUCAUUAUUGCCAACUAAUCACUUCGUGCACUUAUAUUUUAAAAGGGGCAAUUCAUUGAAUUUGAAUAAUAUCCAUUCCCUGUGCCGUUUUUCUUUUUGAUGGCAGUGUAGCUGAUUUAGAUUAUACUUCAAUCAAAAAGAAAGGAAAAAAAAGGAACAGGCAACGGAUUAAGAAAAUUGUGUUGUUUUAGCUGUACGUAAAGUGAUUCAGGUUAUUACAACAUAUUGAACGUGGGCUGUAGAUUAAGUCCUUAUUGUACAUUUGUUUUAUACGUGGUAGUGCAUAUCUGUUAAUCCCAAACUCCUAAUGAUUCCCUCUCCCACAUCCCUUUUCCCUUUGGUACCCAAGAGUUUGCUUUCUCCACCUGUGAGUCUAUUUCUGUUUUCUUAAAGAAGUUCAUUGGUGUUAUUUCUUUAACUCCACAUGUAAGUGAUAGCAUAUAAUGUGUAUCUAUCUGACUUACUUCCCUCAGCAUGAUAAUCUCUACAUCUGCCCAUAUUGCUGCAAAUGCCAUUAUUGAGCUCUUUUUUAUGGCUGAGUAAUAUUCCACUGCGUAUCUCUGCCUUAUCUUCUUUAUCCAUUUAUCUCUCAAUGGACAUUUAGGUUGUUUCCAUGUCUUGGCUAUUUUAAAUUGUGCUGCUAUGAACAUUUGGGGGGGCAUGUAUCUUUUUGGAUUAUAGUUUUGUCUAGAUAGAUGCCCAGGAGUGGGAUUAUUGGAUCGUAUAGCAACUCUCUUUUUAGUUUUUUCAGGAACCUCCAUACUGUUUUCCAUAAGGGCUACAGCUACACCUGUUUAAAUUCCCACCAACAGUGUUGCUGGGUUCCCUUUUCUCCAUGCCCUCUCUAGCAUUUGUUAUUUGUAGACUUUUUGAUGCUGGCCAUUCUGAUUGGGCUGAUGUGAUACUUCAUUGAGUUUUGACUUGCAUUUCUCUGAUGAUUAUUGCUGAUGAGCAUCUUUUCAUGUGCCUGUUGGCUAUCUGUACAUCUUCUUUGAAGAAAUGGCUAUUUAUGUCUUCUGCCCAUUUAUUGACUGGGUUGUUUGUUUUUUUGUUAUUGAGUUAUACGAGCUGUCUGCAUAUUUUGGCAGUGAAUCUCUUGGUGGUUGCAUUGUUUGUAAAUAUUUUCUUCCAAACCAUAGAUUUUUCUUUCAGUUUGUCAGUGGUUUCUUUUGCUAUACAAAAACGUGUAACGUUAAUUAGGUCCCAUUUGUUUAUUUUUGCUCUUAUUUCUUUCAUGCACAUGUUCUCUUUGGACAAGGCAAUGCUUAUUUCUAAGUAGAACUACCUUUGUUUUAAACUCAUAUUUCUGGCAAUCCCGUCAGACAAAGUAAGGAGAGAGUAAAGUGUUGAAAAGUCCAAUAGAGGUUUUUUUUUUGUUGUUUCUUGAAAUGAACUCAUUUCAUGAAAUAAUUAUUUUCUAUUUGUAGUCUUGAUGUCCCACCUUUUCUCCCAGUAGUUUUUGAGAAAGUUCCAGUUUUGUCUCCGCAACAUGAAUAUUUCAAAGUAUAUAUAAUUAAUGUUUUAAUUAUGUACUUAGAUGUGGAACUAUUUGGAUUUCUCUCAAAAAUAUUGUUCAUUUUGCUUUGUUGCCUCUGCUGACUCCAAAUGGUGACAUCCUCUAAGAUUAAGAUUAUACGUAUUUUCAAACUGAACUUAUAUUAGUUACAAUUCAAUUCGUCUAAUAUUUGAGCAAUUCCUGUGUGCAAAGUUCUGUGUUGUAGGACAAGGAGAGGAAACCCUUCUGUGGUUUCUGUACCUGAUGGGUUGAUAUGCAGGAGUGAUGGCCUAUAUAUAUAUGAUGAGUUAAAACCAAUUAUGAAAAUAGACAUCUUCCAGUAGAUAGAUUAAAGGAAAAAGCAAGCGAUGAAUUAAACCUUGGAGGCUGUGAGUAAAACUUCUUAGAGAUGUGGGCAUUUUAUCAGAAGUAUAGAGGCACAUGAAGAUUUUAUUAGAAAAUGUGGGAGUUCCUGUUAUGACUCAUCGAGUCAUGAAUCUGACCAUGAGGAUGCAGGUUUGAUCCCUGGCUUUAUUCAGUGGGUUAAGGAUCCAGUAUUGCUGUGAGCUGCAAUGUAGUUUGCAGACAUGGCUCAGAUCUGGCAUGUUGUGGCUGUGGCAGGGGCUGUGGCUGGCAGCUGUAGCUCUGAUUCCGCCCUUAGCCUGGGAACUUCCAUAUGACACAAGUAUAGCCCUAAACAGAAAAAAAAAAAAAA
rnacentral:lncRNA from 1 species